CGAGGUGCGUCUUUCGGACGGGAAAUAUUGGCUUCAACACCUACUAUUUUCCCACGUCAAAGACGCAUCUCUACGUUAAAACGCCGACACCACCACAUUAUUCAUCGGUGGAUCAAG
rnacentral:sRNA from 1 species